ACGGAAGAGAGACGCAUAAAAGAGACCUCCAGACAUGAAAAACCAGCAUGGUACAAUUUGACAGGAAGGCUCUUGAGAUUGUGCUUAAGUCAGUAGCACUGUUCGGCAGCUACCACUGUCUCUCUCUAUCACCUCAAGCUUUCAAGUUGCCCUCGCCAGCAUUCACUGAGGCAUCUGAGGUGUGAGAGCAGAAGAGCUUUGGGCAGAGAUGAUAUGACAUCAAAGCCAAGAUGGUCAAGAGAAGCGAUGGAAUUUGUCAGCUGACUCUUCAGGGUUUGAAUUGCAUGGUGUUUUAGUUUUCAAUGCUCCAGUCUAGUUGAUUUCGGUUCCGGUUGGCACUGAGAUUGGAACAUGCAUGUGCGAGUGCACGCUUCGUCUGUCUGCUGUCCUUUACCACUUCAUCAUACGUAGUUUAUUCGUGUCAUGUUGCGUCGUGUCCUGCCCAGCCCUGAUCCUUGACUGCUUAGGUAAGUUUAUUUUAUGUUAAUGUUUUCCGCCUUAGGGUUUUUUUGUUUGUUGUCUUUUUGUUUUAUUUUAGAAUUAAUAAACAUUUAAUUUGCUGCACUUGAGUCCCUGCUCCUUUCUUAACCCUACAACCUUGACACGCAAAUCCUUUUAUCAGAUAACAGUCAAUCAAUUAAUAAAGACCGAAAAAAAAAAAUCAGACAUAUAAUUGAUGUGCACAUUUAUUUUAGAAUGUAUACACAUUAUUCUUAGAUGUCUAU